UUCUUUAUGUUCGCGACGUUCGCGUGGCUCUCUCAUUUUAAUGGCGGAGCGUGAUUUUACAGUGUCGGUAGAUUCAAAUUUACUAUUCCUCAAUCAAUCGGUUGAUUAUUGUUGUUUUUGAGUUGUAGUUUGCCAUAUUUUUACAAAUUUAGCUAUUAUAUCGUGCAUUUUAACGCAUUUUUUCAAGAAUUAACAUGGGUGAAGAAAAGAAGGUUAUGUUUCAUGAAAUGGAGCUGGACGACAGAAUAAUUAAGGCUAUAGCGCAGUUAGCGUGGUCAGAACCGACCUUGAUUCAAGAAACCGCGAUACCCCUGUUGUUGGAAGGAAAAGACGUCCUAAUGCGUGCUCGGACGGGCUCUGGAAAGACGGCAGCCUUCACCAUUCCUGUUAUACAGAAGAUCUUGCAUCUUAAUAAUACCAGUAAACAUCAGUGCAUCCGGGCUUUGAUUUUGUCACCUAGCAAGGAGCUUUGCGGGCAGAUUGCAUCAGUGAUAGCAGACUUGACCCUCAAAUGUGCGCGAGAAGUGCGCUGUAUAGACAUCUCAGCCAACGGAGACAUGCAGACACAGAAGGCACUGCUCUCUGACAAGCCCGACAUAGUUGUAGCAACCCCAUCAAAAGCCUUGGCACACCUGAAGGCCGGCAACAUGCGGCUGAAGGAGGACCUGGCGAUGUUGGUGGUGGACGAGGCAGACCUGGUGUUUUCCUUCGGUUAUGAAGACGAGAUUAAGGAGUUGUUGGGACACCUGCCAAAGAUCUACCAAGCCGUGCUGGCCUCGGCCACGCUCUCCGACGACGUGCUGAGCCUCAAGAAGAUCGUGCUCCACAACCCCGUGACCCUCAAGCUGGAGGAGCCGGAGCUGGCCGCCGGGGCUAAGCUGCAGCACUACCACGUGCACGCCGAGGAGGAUGACAAGGCGGCCAUAUUGUAUGCGCUGCUUAAGCUUAAUUUGAUUAGGGGGAAGAGUAUAAUCUUUGUGAGGACUGUGGAUAGGUGUUAUAAGCUCAAACUAUACCUAGAGCAGUUCAAGAUCGGCUCCUGCGUGCUGAACUCCGAGCUGCCGGCCGCCGUGCGCUGUCUGUCCGUGGACCAGUUCAACCGCGGCCGGUACCAGAUCAUCGUGGCCUCGGACGAAAAGGCCUUGGAGAAACCUGAUGGAGGCAUACUGCCACUUGAAGAAAGAAAGACCAAGAAAAAGCAAGCAUCCAAGCGCCGCCGCGACAAGGAGUCGGGCGUGUCCCGCGGCAUCGACUUCCAGCACGUGGCCAACGUCAUCAACUUCGACUGCCCGCCGGACGCCGCCUCCUACGUGCACCGCGCGGGCCGCACGGCGCGCGGCGCCCACCAGGGCUCAGUGCUGUCCUUCGUGUCGAUCCGCGAGAAGCCGCUCAUGGAGGCGGUGGAGGAACACCUCGCUGCCGGUGUUAAAGGAAAGAAAGUUCUACAGAAGUACGAGUUCGCGCUGGAGGAGGUGGAGGGGUUCCGCUACCGCUCGCGCGACGCGUGGCGCGCCGUCACGCGCAUCGCCGUGCGCGAGGCGCGCCUCAAGGAGAUCAAGCAGGAACUGCUCAACUGCAAGAAGCUGCAGGUGAGGUGCCGGUUCAGUUCCCGCCGGAGGAGGUGGAGGGGUUCCGCUACCGCUCGCGCGACGCGUGGCGCGCCGUCACGCGCAUCGCCGUGCGCGAGGCGCGCCUCAAGGAGAUCAAGCAGGAACUGCUCAACUGCAAGAAGCUGCAGGUGAGGUGCCGGUUCAGUUCCCGCCGGAGGAGGUGGAGGGGUUCCGCUACCGCUCGCGCGACGCGUGGCGCGCCGUCACGCGCAUCGCCGUGCGCGAGGCGCGCCUCAAGGAGAUCAAGCAGGAACUGCUCAACUGCAAGAAGCUGCAGGUGAGGUGCCGGUUCAGUUCCCGCCGGAGGAGGUGGAGGGGUUCCGCUACCGCUCGCGCGACGCGUGGCGCGCCGUCACGCGCAUCGCCGUGCGCGAGGCGCGCCUCAAGGAGAUCAAGCAGGAACUGCUCAACUGCAAGAAGCUGCAGGGCUACUUCGCGGACAACCCGGGCGAGCUGGCGGCGCUGCGGCGCGACCGCGCGCUGCACACGGUGCGCGCGCAGCCGCAGCUGGCGCACGUGCCCGACUACCUGCUGCCCGCCGCGCUGCGCGCCGCGCCCGACGC